rnacentral:rRNA from 1 species
AUUGUUUGAUCCUGGCUCAGAACGAACGCUGGCGGCAGGCCUAACACAUGCAAGUCGAGCGAGCAUUUCGGUGCUAGCGGCGGACGGGUUAGUAACGCGUGGGAACGUGCCCUUUGCUACGGAAUAGUCCUGGGAAACUGGGGGUAAUACCGUAUGUGCCCUUCGGGGGAAAGAUUUAUCGGCAAAGGAUCGGCCCGCGUUGGAUUAGGUAGUUGGUGGGGUAAUGGCCUACCAAGCCGACGAUCCAUAGCUGGUUUGAGAGGAUGAUCAGCAACACUGGGACUGAGACACGGCCCAGACUCCUACGGGAGGCAGCAGUGGGGAAUCUUAGACAAUGGGCGCAAGCCUGAUCUAGCCAUGCCGCGUGGACGAUGAAGGCCUUAGGGUUGUAAAGUCCUUUCAGCUGGGAAGAUAAUGACGGUACCAGCAGAAGAAGCCCCGGCUAACUCCGUGCCAGCAGCCGCGGUAAAAUC